rnacentral:tRNA from 2 species
GAAUGGAGUAGUUUAAGUGGAAAGAAUGCCACUCAUUGUGGAGGCGCAGGUUCGACACCUGCUCUCCAUUCU